AGGCUGCAUGUACAAAGGCUUGCAGAAAGAUAGGAGGGAGUGUGAUGGGUUUCGAAACAUUACAUUGAGAAAUGAGGCCAGAAGGUGGGUCAGUGCCAGAUUUUCAAGGGCAUUGACUUCCAUUUUAAUGAGCUUGGACUCUAGCCUGUAGGCAGUGGGGAGCAACAGUUUUUGAGCAGGGAAGUGACAUGAUCAGAUUUGCAUUUUAGAAAUAUGACUCUGGCUGUGAAGUUGAGUUUGGAUAGGAGAGCAGCAGGCUGAAAGCAGAGAAAAGAGUUAAGAGAUAACUACAAUGGCGCGGAGUAAGGGGUUGCUGAACUUGGACAAUGGCAGUGGGGAGACAAAAGUGGGAGAAUUUCAUUGUUAGGUCCACCAUGCGACAGAAGAUGAACAGUCUUCAAAGGAUGUUUGAAGCUCUACUACUCAGCACUCAGUGGUGCACUGGAACCAGCCUGCAGUAGCUCAUGAGAGCCAAUGAUAUGGAACAAAAGACAUAGAAAAGGUUCCUGUGAAAUGUCCAUUCAUUCAACAGAAAUUCAUGGAGCACCCACUCAGUGCCAGGAAAUGUAUGAAAGUCUGGGGAACAAGACUGAAGUUAUCCUUGCCUUCAAGCAACUUGCAAUUUCCUAAGAACACAGUUUAAAACCACAAACCUAUUUAAAUGUAAUUCCAAUCUUUGUGAUUCAGGUUAAGUGACUCCAGCAAUGUAAGGUUAGUUCCAGAGAAGUUAAAUAAAUAAUCAGUGGAAGUUAUUUUGAGCAUGAGAUGAGGCCCUGGAGCAGGUCAAGAUCCACCCAGGACUUGAUCUAGUGUCUAGGUAAGCCUGUGACCUAUAUGGCUUUGAGUAAGUUUCCUGCGGGUGGAUUUCACAGGACUUAAAUGUUUCACGGGUAACUUUUAAGAGAAGGUAAUAGAAGGAGCCUAGACAUGGAAGCAAAGACUUACUUUGAGUUUUAAUUCACUCAAUUGUUAUAUUAUUCAUUCAUUCACCAAAUAUGUAUUGCAUCUGCAUCUUUUCAGGGUGAGUUAUUAUUAUUCUCAUCAGUACUCAGAGAUGUUUAAAAAAAACUUGCCCAAAGCUACAGCAUUUUUAGGUGGCAGACCUGGGCUUUAUUUUUUGGCACUCUGGCCAAAGACCAAAAUCUUGGCCCUUCCUUUAUUCAUUAACUCAUUAACUGAUUGAUUUAUUUGCCUAGCAACUAUUUAUUGAGUGCCUACUAUCUUUCAGGAAUUACAUCAAUUGCUGGGAUAAUGGGUGAACAGGGCAAAGGCUGUUUUGAUCUUUCAUGAGCUGAUUACCCACAUGCCAUGAGGUUAAAAUUAUUUCUGCACUUUCUUUAUCAGAGGAUUAUUUUAAACAUCUAAACUACAUACAAAUUUGGGAGCAUUUUUGUAAGCCACAAAAUUCUCUACAGUCAGAAGUUUAUUAUAAUUGUUAUUCAUUCAAGGGUUAUAUGAUUCAAUAAUAAUAUUUAAAAACAUUAUUCUUACAACUUGACAUUCCCUCUAUAAUUUUUUUUUGCUCUCUUCCUUUCCCCUGUAUGCAAGUAAAAACAUCUACAAGGUAACAGAAUUUAAAUGAGCCCUAUUUAUAGGAAUUUGAAUUUCUAAAAUUUAUUUAGAAAAGCAAAUUAAACAAUAGUUCUCUUAGUUCAUUUAAAAC
rnacentral:lncRNA from 1 species